UUUAAACCACUAAAGCCCUGCCCCUCUGAUUUGAUCCUUCAUGCUAAUCUGCUGUUGCUAACGUAGCAUUUCAUUGAGGAGUUAGUCCACCAGCAAUAUGAGUAUACUGCUGGAGGCCUGUUCUGUGGGAGAACGAGUUUGAUGUUCUGGCUGUAUCACCAGUGAAGUUUGAACGAGACCUGGAGGGGAUUUUUAGGCUCUCUGUGCCUCCAUGAGUUCAACAAGAAUAUCCAAAGCCUGCUGUCUGCUGCUUCUGCAUCAUCAGUGGAGCCAAGGGCCAAGGUGUGGUGGGUUAAGCUGACCCCAUUCCUGCAAGAUCAUUCAAUGAGCUCAUGCGAAUGUGAGGCAUCUGUCAUCAGUCUGUCCUUCCACAAUUCACAAAAGCCACCACUCCUCAAGAGCAAUGGGAAUUAAACUGCACAUGAACUGCAAUAGAUCAUGAACUGGAUGAGCUAAUGCACCCCUGACGUUCUGGUCAACUCCUCUUAGCUUGCUAACAGUAAUGAGAAUGCACCCCAUUCAGGAUGAGCAGCUAAACAAAUGCGUACCAGAUGAAGUUAAAGAAUAGAUGGCAGGUUUUUUGCCCCCUUAAGUAUUAUUCUUAAUAUUUAAAGGCAUGCACUGGGACCACAUCACCAGUGUGAUUUUCUUGAAAAGUAAAUUUGCUGCAUUCCCAGUUUGUUGCCCUUUUAAAGAGAAAUGUCCUGCUGGUGCCAAGAGAAAGAAGAAAUAUUUCUGGACAAUCUGCCAGGCCAGUAAACCGCUACACAUUCACCAUGUGUCUGAACCAAGCUAGAUCAAGGAGUAGAUUAGAGUUUCUUUGCUCUGUGUGUAUGUGUACUGUGUAUAAAUAGCACAUGUGGCAGCACUUACCACGCUCUUUUUAUUUAAGGCAUUUCCCCUCCCUGCCUUUCUCACCAUGCUCUGGUUGACGGGACUGUAGCAGAAGCCAGGAGUUGAGUUCCCAGGCCUUCAUCUUGACAAAUGUGUCUCUCUUUUUAUUUAUUCGACAAGUCAAAGAGGAUCUGAGACUUCAUCUUCAGACCACCUGGCUUCAGAAUAAAGAGGUUUU